ACGCUAGCUACAGGCUUAACACAUGCAAGUCGAGGGGCAGCAUGGUCUUAGCUUGCUAAGGCCGAUGGCGACCGGCGCACGGGUGAGUAACACGUAUCCAACCUGCCGUCUACUCUUGGACAGCCUUCUGAAAGGAAGAUUAAUACAAGAUGGCAUCAUGAGUCCGCAUGUUCACAUGAUUAAAGGUAUUCCGGUAGACGAUGGGGAUGCGUUCCAUUAGAUAGUAGGCGGGGUAACGGCCCACCUAGUCUUCGAUGGAUAGGGGUUCUGAGAGGAAGGUCCCCCACAUUGGAACUGAGACACGGUCCAAACUCCUACGGGAGGCAGCAGUGAGGAAUAUUGGUCAAUGGGCGAGAGCCUGAACCAGCCAAGUAGCGUGAAGGAUGACUGCCCUAUGGGUUGUAAACUUCUUUUAUAAAGGAAUAAAGUCGGGUAUGGAUACCCGUUUGCAUGUACUUUAUGAAUAAGGAUCGGCUAACUCCGUGCCAGCAGCCGCGGUAAUACGGAGGAUCCGAGCGUUAUCCGGAUUUAUUGGGUUUAAAGGGAGCGUAGAUGGAUGUUUAAGUCAGUUGUGAAAGUUUGCGGCUCAACCGUAAAAUUGCAGUUGAUACUGGAUAUCUUGAGUGCAGUUGAGGCAGGCGGAAUUCGUGGUGUAGCGGUGAAAUGCUUAGAUAUCACGAAGAACUCCGAUUGCGAAGGCAGCCUGCUAAGCUGCAACUGACAUUGAGGCUCGAAAGUGUGGGUAUCAAACAGGAUUAGAUACCCUGGUAGUCCACACGGUAAACGAAGAAUACUCGCUGUUUGCGAUAUACUGCAAGCGGCCAAGCGAAAGCGUUAAGUAUUCCACUUGGGGAGUACGCCGGCAACGGUGAAACUCAAAGGAAUUGACGGGGGCCCGCACAAGCGGAGGAACAUGUGGUUUAAUUCGAUGAUACGCGAGGAACCUUACCCGGGCUUAAAUUGCAGAUGAAUUACGGUGAAAGCUGUAAGCCGCAAGGCAUCUGUGAAGGUGCUGCAUGGUUGUCGUCAGCUCGUGCCGUGAGGUGUCGGCUUAAGUGCCAUAACGAGCGCAACCUUUGUUGUCAGUUACUAACAGGUUCCGAUGAGGACUCUGACAAGACUGCCAUCGUAAGAUGUGAGGAAGGUGGGGAUGACGUCAAAUCAGCUCGGCCUUUACGUCCGGGGCUACACACGUGUUACAAUGGGGGGUACAGAGGGCC
rnacentral:rRNA from 1 species